AAUAGAUACCCAGGUAGUCCACCCCGUAAACGUUGGGAACUAGUUGUGGGGUCCUUUCCACGGAUUCCGUGACGCAGCUAACGCGUUAAGUUCCCCGCCUGGGGAGUACGGCCGCAAGGCUAAAACUCAAAGGAAUUGACGGGGACCCGCACAAGCGGCGGAGCAUGCGGAUUAAUUCGAUGCAACGCGAAGAACCUUACCAAGGCUUGACAUACACCAGAACACCCUAGAAAUAGGGGACUCUUUGGACACUGGUGAACAGGUGGUGCAUGGUUGUCGUCAGCUCGUGUCGUGAGAUGUUGGGUUAAGUCCCGCAACGAGCGCAACCCUCGUUCUAUGUUGCCAGCACGUAAUGGUGGGAACUCAUGGGAUACUGCCGGGGUCAACUCGGAGGAAGGUGGGGAUGACGUCAAAUCGAUCAUGCCCCUUAUGUCUUGGGCUUCACGCAUGCUACAAUGGCCGGUACAAAGGGCUGCAAUACCGUGAGGUGGAGCGAAUCCCAAAAAGCCGGUCCAGUUCGGAUUGAGGUCUGCAACUCGACCUCA
rnacentral:rRNA from 1 species